rnacentral:lncRNA from 1 species
GAGUGUGAGAGCGAGAACAGCCCCGCAGGUCCCGAGGCGCUGGCUGGGGACAAUGCCGCGGAAAGUUCCCAGUCCCCAGCCGCAGAUCUGCAGAAUUGAAAUGAAAUGUUUUGAGCUCUUCAAGCUGACUCGUCAGAAUCCUGGAGCCUUUUAAAAAAUGACGAAUUGGAAGGAAAAAUUACUUUAUCAAUAACCAGGCUCCACCAGGAUUGACCUAGAUGGUUGUUCCUGGCACUUGUCAUUCUCAGCAAGCACAGCUCAGAGAACAAAUACAAAAGACCCAAAGUGCAUUGCAUCUUUUAUGGAAGUGCCCAAUGUGGAAAUCAUAGAUUUCAAGGAAGGAACAAGAAAAUUGAUGAAACAAGUUCAAAAGAAAGCUUGGCCAAUUUGAUGUCAAUGGAAAUGCGUGAGAUUUUUAUUCAGCAUUCACACCUGAGCAAUGCUUUUGGUCAUGAUGUCAUACUAAGAAGAAACCACCUGAGAUGAGACUGUUAGAUGUUCAGAGCAAACAAAAACAAAAACAGACCAACAAAAAAAACCCAAAACAAAACAGAAGUUUCUGAAGGACAGCAGAAAUGAGAAGGGGUUUCACCGUGUUAGCCAGGAUGGUCUUGAUCUCCUGACCUUGUGAUCCGCCCGCCUCGGCCUCCCAAAGUGCUGGGAUUACAGGCAUGAGCCACGGCGCCCGGCCCUUAAGAAGUCUUAAAGUCAUCUAUGAUGGGCUAAUGGCACUCUUCACGACAAGCCUGAUUGCACUGUUAAGCUCCAGAGGAAAAAAUGUGGCUAUAGAGUAUAUUAAAAUACAUACAAUUGAAAAGGAAGAUGUUCAUUUUUGCAAGCAGAAGAUUACCAACAGAAUGCUAAAAUUAAAGGCUUUGCAGGACCACAACAACCACUCCCAGUCAUGAUGGAGAGAAGUGUUCAAUACCCACAGAUCCUGAACGUUGAGCUGAUUAUACUAACUAGAUGGGACUUAGUUUUGUCUACCGUGGGGUGAGCGUAUACUACCUGAGGGAACAGGUUCUCUAUGGUGAAGAUGGCAACUUGCUGACUCAGUCUCAGAAUGCGUUAAAUCCACAUAUUCUGGCAAGUGGAGUUCUGCUUCUCCAAUAUCUCUUCCAGACUAAGUCUCGAAAGGACAGUAAUUGAUCCACCCUGAGUCAUAUGCCCAUGUCCAAAGCAAUGAGUUUGGGAAAUUUCAUGACACACUCCUAAUUUUGUGGUAGGAGACACAUCAGAACCACACAAUGAGUCAGUCCUAUUUAUGAAAUAGAGGUUCAUCUAUCAGAUGAAAGGGAAAAAAGUUGUAAAAACAAAACAGAUGUUCACUAAUGGGGAUCUAUCUGAAUUUCACCUGUAACUACAAAUGCUCACAAGUAGAUUUACAGUUUUCCUAGAGUGUCAUGAAUUUAAAAACAUAUGCAUGGAAUCAUAAAGUAAUAUCCUAAUCACCUCUCACAACCUUUCUCUCCUUAACAUAAAAUGAGAAUAUUUUAGCAGCAGGAGAAGGAUUUUCAUUUAUAGACCUUUAUCAGACACUAAUGUAGGAUUGAGUUUGACCUGAUACAGUGUUCUAUCUCUGAGUGUUGUCACUCAGUUUUAUCAUAAAUAAAAUUUAUUUUAUAUGAUAUCAUAUAGAGAACAAAUUUACUUAUUUUUCUCAUGUAAUCAUGUAAUCAAUUGUUCCAACAUAAUCCAUUGAAUAGAUAUUGUGGCAUUUCCCUAAUUAUUUAUAAAGGCACUGUUACUAGAUAUGAAUAUUUAUAUAUGAGGAUAUGAAUCGUGGCUCUCUGAUUUGUUCAUUAUUUGCUUGUCUAUUCCUGUGCCAGUAUCAUACAAUUGGUACUAAUAUAGUGUUCUGAUAUUGACAGGAUGAAGUGCUCCUUCUAAUGAUGUAGCUUUAAAUUUGUCUUGGUUGUGCAUUUCUUUUUAUUCUUCCAUAGAGAUUUGUGGUUCAGUUGUCAGCUUUGAAAAUCACUUUUGGGAUUUGAAUUUGAAUUGCAUGAAAUUUGUAGACUAACUUGUAGAAAAUAGACAUUUUUAUGAUAUGAAUUUACACAUCCUUGUAACCAUGGGUGUGUUAUUUAUUUUCACUUUUGAAUAUUAUUGUGGGUAUUUAGUAAUAAAAAUAACAAUCGACGAGUUACAUGGUGGUUACUAUGUGACAGAUGUUGUCAAAGUUCCAUCCAUAUAUCAACUUAUUAUAUAUUCUUAUGGGAAGAGACCGUUAUUAUCUCCAUUACACAAGUAAGAAAAUCGAGGUACAAAGAGCUUAAGUAACAUGUGCUAAGUCAUAUAAGAGUAAAGCUUUAUUUGAAUCCAUGCAGUUUGUCUCCAGAGCUUGAAAUCCAUUUUAUUUUAUUUUAUUUUUGCUUUUUAAAAAAAAUUUUUUUGAGACGGAAUCUCGCUUUGUUGCCCAGGCUGGAGUGCAGUGGCACAAUCGCGGCUCAUUGCAACCUCCACCUCCUGGGUUCAAGCAAUUCUCCUGCCUCAGCCUCCCGAGUAGCUGGGACUACAGGUGGGCACCACCACGCCCAGCUAAUUUUUUGUAUUUUUAGUAGAGAAUGGGGUUUCACCAUGUUAGCCAGGAUGGUCUCGAUCUCAUGACCUCAUGUUCCACCUGCCUCGGUCUCCCAAAGUGCUGGGAUUACAGGCGUGAGCCACUGCAUCCAGCCUGAAAUAUUUACCAGUAUCUGAUAUUGCCUCACUAAGAACUUUGCCCAACUCCUUAGUGAUUCUACCAUUGGCUUAGUAUUUUGGAUUUUCUAGUAGACAAUAAUAUCGUGUGCAUAAAGCAAAUACAAUUAUUAUUACAAUAAAAUUUUUAAACUACUCAUUUGUACUUGCUUUCAUAAAGCCUUAGCUAAUUCCAACAAAAUAUUGAUUACUGUGGGAGAGAGUGGUAAAUCUUAUUUUGUACCUAAUAUUAAAUAA